ACAGGCAGUGGCAUGAAGAUGGAGUCACAGAUCCAAGUCUUCAUAUUUUUGCUCCUCUGGAUAUCGGAUGCUGAAGGGAACAUUGUGAUGACUCAGUCUCCUGAAUUCAUGUUCGCAUCUGUUGGAGAAAGAAUCACCCUAAGCUGCAAGUCCAGUCAGAGUGUGGGUAGUUAUGUAGCUUGGUACCAGCAGAAAUCAGGGCAGCCUCCUAAACUGCUAAUCUAUGAUGCAUCCACUCGAUACACUGGGGUCCCUGAUCGCUUCACAGGCAGUGGAUCUGGGACAGAUUUCACUCUCUCCAUCAGCAGUGUGCAGGCUGAAGACCUGGCAGUUUAUUACUGUCAGCAACAUUACAGCUAUCCUCCCACAGUGCUUCAGAUUGCAGAUAAUGGGAAAGAAUACUCUAUUGUUGGCACGAGUGAAAACUUAUAUGGCCACUGUGGAAAUCACUAUGGUGGUCCUUCAGAAAAAUUUUAA